AUGGUUCAAGACCUCAUCCCUAAGCUAGUGGAUGAUCAAACUAACUACAUGCUCAUUAUGACGCCUUCUGUUGAAGAGAUUCAUAAGACAAAUAUGAAGCUUAAUGCUGACUCUCCCCCUGGAUCUGAUGGUUUUGGUUCUUUCUUCUACCAAAAGUAUCGAGAUAUUAUCAAGCUGGAUGUAAUUAAUGAUUUUUGUCUAUUCUUUUUGCAUGGCUGGAUUCCUCCUAACUAUAUGAAGUGA